UGGAGCUGAUAAAAGGAAGGUAGUGAAGCCCAUCAGAAGAAAAUCACUCGACUUAUCAGCAAAUAAGGAUGUGAUGAAGGGCCUUGGAACUGAACAAUCAUUAGAUCAAGCUAGUAGUGGAGGCCAAGGAACUUUGGUUGCUGUUGCUCAAGGAACCGAUGAGAAUGUCAAGACAAAUGAUGUGGAAAAAAAUGAUUCAGCAUUACCCAAGGUGGAAACAUCUGUAAAUGCUGAUGAUGCAACUAAGG
rnacentral:misc_RNA from 1 species